GAGCUUUAUCAGAGCAACUUCGCUUAAGACU
rnacentral:piRNA from 1 species